ACCAUAAUCCCCAGGUGUCAAGGGAGAGAUCAGGUGGAGGUAAUUGAGUCACUGGGGCAGUUUCCCCUGUGCUGGUCUCCAGAUAUUGAGAGAGUUCUCACGAGAUCUGAAGGUUUUAUAAGUGUUUAGUAGUUCCACCUGCAUUCUUUCUCCCUCCUACCACCUUAUGAGGAAGGUGCUUUGCUUCUCUGUUAUCACUCACCAUGAUUAUUAAAAUAAGAUUGCUGAGUCUUCUCCAGUUAUGAGAAUUGUGAGUCAGUCAAACCUUUCUUCUUUAUAAAUUACCCAGUCUCAGGUAGUUCUUUAUAGCACUGUGAGAUCAGACUAAUACAAUUGGUAAAGUUUCCUCUCUCUCUCUCUCUCUCUCUCUCUCUCUCCUUUCAGAUAUGACUAGGAAGAUUUCAACUCCAGUUGCUUCUGAAACUAAGGGAGGGGACUCAAGAUGGCGCUGUGAGAACAACCCAGGAUUGGAGCCCACGUUGAAUCCGCAAAUGGUGAGUCAGUGCUGCAUUUCCAGACUGAUCUUUGUUGCCCACAGAACGGGGAAACUCCCAAGUAUAAAAAGACACGGGACGCCAGGCAGUAGGUCUGCCUGGCGAAGCCGGCAGCCGGGGUGGCGGUGGCCGGCCCUACCCAGCAAUCCCCACAGGGCGCGCUUGUCCGGGUGCCUUGUUGAACCGGCAGCCUGAGACUUGAGAGGGCUGGACUUGAGACUGAACAAGACUUGCACAGUAGCCCAGCCCAGGGGAUUGCAGGGACAGAUCGUUUGGGAUACCCAGUGGGACGAACAAAACCGCGAUUUCAAACUAUCCCGGGCAGACGGUCCGAGACGCUCUGUGGGGGAGGGGCGUCCACCACUACGGAGGCAACCUGCCCCAACUGAGAUAUACGCUCACUGCUGACGCAGCCAGCCGGUGCCGAGGCAACCCGCCCCAACUGAGUUACACGCCUACUGCUGACGCAGCCAGCCGUUGCCGAGGCAACCCGUCCCUACUGAGAUACACGCCCACUGCUGACGCAGCCUGCCGUUGCUGAGGCAACACGCUACAACGAAGAGACUCAGCCUCAGGGCGCGGCGGAGACCACAGCAGAGCCGGCAGGAACAGCGCGAAUCACACAACAGCAGGGCGGAGCCUCGGCAGGCAAACAGUGGCUAGUCUGCCUUCGAGCUGGGCAGGACACCUGAUCGGACAUCCAAAAAUAAAGCCCAAACCCCUCAACACAGAGCAUUUGAGAAAAAAAAAAAGGGUUGUUUAAUGAGCUGUGUUGCAGCAGAAUCAAACAUAGCAGCCUAACAGCCCUGAAUGAACAACAGGGUGCACAGCUCAGCAAUUAAACCCCUAUAAAGUACAAACUGUCUCCUCAAGCAGCUCCCUGACCCCUCUAUAUCCGAAAGACUGUCAUUAGGCAGGCAUCAUCCUGGGACAAAGAGAGCAGAAAAAGAAACUGGUAGCAUCCCUCGCUGUGCCACAGCUACUAGAGGUGCACCCCAGACAAGCAGGGUCUGGAGCGGACCUCAACAGUCGUACAGCGAAGGGGCUAGACUGGUAGAAGGAAAACCAAGCAACAGAAAUACUUCAUCAUCAACAUUCUGGGUGUCCACUCAGAGACCCAAACGAAAAGUCAGCAACUACGCAGACGAC
rnacentral:lncRNA from 1 species